rnacentral:tRNA from 1 species
AUUGAUGUGGCAGAGUCAGGAUAAUGCGAGCGGCCUAAAACCGCUUACCCAGACGUUCAAAUCGUCUCACCAAAA